rnacentral:rRNA from 1 species
CAGUAGCCACGGUAAUACGAGGGGGGCAAGUGUUGUUCGGAAUUAUUGGGCGUAAAGGGUGCGUAGGCGGUUUGACAAGUCUUAUGUGAAAUCUCUGGGCUCAACCCAGAGUCUGCAUGGGAAACUGUCGGGCUUGAGUAUGGGAGAGGUGAGUGGAAUUUCCGGUGUAGCGGUGAAAUGCGUAGAUAUCGGAAGGAACACCUGUGGCGAAAGCGGCUCACUGGACCAUAACUGACGCUGAGGCACGAAAGCUAGGGGAGCAAACAGGAUUAGAUACCCGGGUAGUCCCUGUCUCUUAUAC